GCCUGGGUGGCUCAGUCUGGUAAGCGUCUGACUUCGGCUCAGGUCAUGAUCUCGCGGUUCGUGGGUUCGAGCCCCGUGUCGGGCU
rnacentral:tRNA from 1 species